UGUAGGUGAACCUGCGGAAGGAUCAUUACCGAGUCUAGGGCCCCUUCGCCCGAACCUCCCAACCGAUGUGUAGCGACCCGGUUGGCUUGGCGCGUGCCCCGCGUCAGGGUCCACCCGUCAUCCGCGUCUUUCUGACAGUCCGAGUUCCUGGUGAAACCACCUAAAAAACUUUCAACAACGGAUCUCUUGGCUCUGGCAUCGAUGAAGAACGCAGCGAAUUGCGAUAAGUAAUGUGAAUUGCAGAACUCAGUGAAUCAUCGAAUCUUUGAACGCAUAUUGCGCCCCUUGGUAUUCCGAGGGGCAUGCCUGUCCGAGCGUCAUAUGACAACCGUCGGGGUGCGCCGAGUCGCCCCCCGGUGUUGGGACGCGCGCCCCCGGAGGGGUGCCGUCCUGAAAUGUAGCACGGGUGUCGUCGGGACCUCAGGCGAAGUUGAACAAUCGUUAGUCGCUUUGGAGGACCCCGGUCGCGCCUCGCUCGGCGUUCCACGCGCAGGUUGACCUCGGAUCAGGUAGGGUUACCCGCUGAACUUAAGCAUAUCAAU
rnacentral:rRNA from 1 species